rnacentral:piRNA from 1 species
UCUGCUCGGUUAAUCAGGGCUCAGCUGCAA